rnacentral:rRNA from 1 species
AGUGAACGCUGGCGGUAGGCCUAACACAUGCAAGUCGAACGGCAGCACAGAGGAGCUUGCUCUCUGGGUGGCGAGUGGCGGACGGGUGAGGAAUACAUCGGAAUCUACUUUUUCGUGGGGGCUAACGUAGGGAAACUUACGCUAAUACCGCAUACGACCUACGGGUGAAAGAAGGGGAUCUUCGGACCUUGCGCGAUUGAAUGAGCCGAUGUCGGAUUAGCUAGUUGGCGGGGUAAAGGCCCACCAAGGCGACGAUCCGUAGCUGGUCUGAGAGGACGAUCAGCCACACUGGAACUGAGACACGGUCCAGACUCCUACGGGAGGCAGCAGUGGGGAAUAUUGGACAAUGGGCGCAAGCCUGAUCCAGCCAUACCGCGUGGGUGAAGAAGGCCUUCGGGUUGUAAAGCCCUUUUGUUGGGAAAGAAAUCCAGCUGGUUAAUACCCGGUUGGGAUGACGGUACCCAAAGAAUAAGCACCGGCUAACUUCGUGCCAGCAGCCGCCGUAA